rnacentral:rRNA from 1 species
GGGGGUGAUCAAACCAUCUUUAAUGCACUCGAUCUCAUCAGAACUCUGCAGUUAACCGUGGUUGGGCGAGAAUAGUACUAGGAUGGGUGACCUCCUGGGAAGUCCUCGUGUUGCGCCCA